rnacentral:rRNA from 1 species
CCCUUAGAGUUUGAUCCUGGCUCAGGAUGAACGCUGGCGGCGUGCUUAACACAUGCAAGUCGAGCGAAGCACUUAUGAAAGAUUCUUCGGAUGAUUUCAUUUGUGACUGAGCGGCGGACGGGUGAGUAACGCGUGGGUAACCUGCCUCAUACAGGGGGAUAACAGUUGGAAACGACUGCUAAUACCGCAUAAGCGCACAGUACCGCAUGGUACGGUGUGAAAAACUCCGGUGGUAUGAGAUGGACCCGCGUCUGAUUAGCUAGUUGGUGGGGUAACGGCCUACCAAGGCGACGAUCAGUAGCCGACCUGAGAGGGUGACCGGCCACAUUGGGACUGAGACACGGCCCAAACUCCUACGGGAGGCAGCAGUGGGGAAUAUUGCACAAUGGGGGAAACCCUGAUGCAGCAACGCCGCGUGAGUGAAGAAGUAUUUCGGUAUGUAAAGCUCUAUCAGCAGGGAAGAAAA